AGAAGAUGGCAGACUAGUUCUCAAAAAACCAUCUUCCCUCAGUCCAAAUUCGGGCUCCUUUUCUGCAGAGGAAGGGGAGGGGCCUGUGCAAUGCUGGCCAAUGGCAGAGCAGGAUUGCUAAUGGUCUCUUACAAUAUUACAAGCAGUUUUGUUUUCUGGGGUUUUUGUUUUUGGUUUUGUUUUUUGUCUUUUGACUUUUUAGGGCUGUACCUGCGGCAUAUGGAGGUUCCCAGGCUGGGGGUCUAAUGGGAGCUACAGCUGCCGACCUACUCCACAGCCACAGCAACGCCACAUCCUUAACCCACUGAGCAAGGCCAAGGAUCAAACCCCCAACCUUACGGUUCCUAGUCGGAUUCGUUUCCGCUGCACUACGACAGGAAUUCCACAAGCAGAUUUUAAUCAUGUGUUUUUAUGUAGUGCUCAAAACACAGCUAGUUUACAAUGUCCAGUUUCAGAAUGUACAUUUUGUGGCUCACAUGUGUACAUUUCUGUUCAGGGUACGAUUAGCAGUGGAAUUUCCCACUAGUGGAAUUAUAGACUAUGUAUAUCUUCAGUGUUUAGGAUGCUUCCAAACUGUUUCCCAAUCAAAUUCAUGGUAUUUUUAUACAGUGGGUUCCAUGGGGAAAUACUACACAGUAAUGGAACAAAUUCAGAUAAAUCACACACACACACACACACACACACACACACACAAAAAAAAAACCCAAAACCAUGAAAUCUCAUAGGCACAGCUACAAGAGAGAGUGGGUAGAGGUUAUCCCUCCACCAUUUUUAAUAAUGUAGGCAUUACCAAAACUACCCUUUGCUAUUAGAAGACAGGAUAUGUGGGUGGCACAAAAAGGGAACACAGGAGUUGCCACUGCGGUGUAAUGGGAUCAGGGCAUCUCUGCAGCACCAGGAAGCAGCUUCAAUCCCCAGCCCAGCACAGUUGGGUUGAAGGAUCUGGCCUUGCCACAGCUGCAGCAUAGGUUGAAACUUCAGAUCAGAUCCCUGGCAUGGAAACUCCAUAUGCUGUGGGGUGGCCAAGAAAGAGAAAAAGAGAGAGAGAGAAUGCAAUGUACAUAUGAAGUGUGGACAUCUGUCUAUCAACCAAGUGGUGAUACCAGGAAAGAGUGCAGGGAGGGGAGAAUCCUGGCGCUGGGGACGGGAUGAAGUUCCUGGGAACUCCACUUGAGACCUCCUCCCUCCUGGCUUCCUAACCAUUUGUGAGAUGUUUCCAUCUUAUUGAGAGGCCCAGGGACUGCUCUUGUCUCCACUUGCAAGCUGCCAACACCCCAUCUGCCCAUCUCACCAAGUCCUAGGAGCCAUGUAAGUAAGCAAUCUAUAUUUCUUAAAACUCUUGGGUUGCAAGGAAAAGAAACUCACUGAAGUAGCUCAAGGGAAACAAACAAACAAAAACAAGGAAGAAUGUAAUAUAAGGAUCCAGGAAAAGUUCCAAGAAUUCAAGGGUGUAUCACUUAGCAUUGGCUGUGUAACAAACUAUCCCCUAAUGGCUUGACCACAAUAGCUAUUUAUUUAGCAUAGAGUUCUACUUGCUGAAGCCACUGUUGUUUUAGUUCUCUUUUUCCUUGCAGCCCAUUCCACUCCCAAUGGAUUUAUCGAACCAUGAGAUUUAAACCAUAAAGUCAAAGAUUUAAAUGGCACUUUGGGAGUUCCCUCGUGGCCUAGUGGUUAAGGAUCUGGCAUUGUCACUGCCGUGGCUCGGGUUCCUACUGUAGCGCAGGUUCAGUCCCUGGCCUAGGAACUUCUGCAUGCUGUGGGAGCAGUCAAAAAAAUUAAAAUAGGGAGAGUUCCCAUUGUGGCUCUGCAGGUUAAGAACCUGACUAGUAUCCAUAAGGAUGCAGUUUUGAUCCCUGGGCUCACUCAGUGGGUUAAGGAUCUGGCAUUGCUGUGAGCUGUGGUAUAGGUCACAGAUGCUGCUCAGAUCCCACAUUGCUGUGGCUGUGGUGUAGGCCAGCAGCUGUAGCUCCAAUGUGACCCCUAGCCUGAGAACAUCCAUAUGCCACAGGUGCAGCCCUGAAAAGAAAACAAAACCAAACAAACAAAAAUUAAAAUAGGAGUUCCCACCGUGGCACCAUGGGUUAAGAACCUGACUGCAGCGGCUUGGGUCACUGCUGCAGCUCGGAUUCAGUCCCUGGCCUGGGAACUUCCAUUUGCCUCAAGUGCGGCCAUAAAAUAAAUAAUAAUAUUAGUAACAAUAAUAAAUAAAUAAAAAUAAAUGCCAUUUGGCAAAACAAAAGUUUGAGUGGCUAGGAGGGAGCCUGUGACCACAUAUCAGCUUGAAUGAAUUGGACCACAGCGAAAGUAUGGACCCAUAACAAGGAAAAUAGUAUGUUAAUAUCCCACAAUAGGAGGGAGAGGGGAUACAACUAUCAGAAUCAUGAAAGAACUGAGAAUCCCACCCCUGUGCUCGUUCAUUUGUGACUAUGAAGACGUCACACAUUUUGUAUCCAGAUAAAAGAUAAAAACGAAGAAGAACUGGCACUUUCCUCCUCCAUCCCAGCAUCCUCUCCCUCCCGAGCCGUCGGGUUGGGGCCACCCUUCCUUCUUGGCUCCUGCCUGUGGCAAGAAGAACUGCCCGGACAUGGGGUGGGAGAGGGUAGAGAAAACGGAACUGUCUUCAAAUGAGGGGAAACUCAAAGAGGGGAGAAUUCAGAUGCGAUGAGCUUAUCUCCAAGAUGUGUCCCAACCUCAUCCUCUCAACCCGAGCUUCUCCCAGGGAUCCCCCCAUCUUGAUGGGAUGUAAAUUUGGCAGAGACCCCAAAUCACGGAGGCUUAAACCUGAGAUGAAGUUGGUUUCUCUCUCAUGUAACAGUCCUUAUGGAAGCCAUCCUAGAAAGGUGCAGGGGCUGUGCCUGCUGAGGUCAUCCAGGCACCCAGGCUUCUUUACCCUGUGGCCCUUCCAUCCUUAGGGUGUUACGAGGUCAAGGUGGUGCACCAGGAGUUCCCGUCGUGGCUCAGCUGUAACGAACCCGACUAGUAUCCAUGAGGAUGCAGGUUCGAUCCCUGGCCUCGCUCAGUGGGUUAAGGAUCUGUCAUUGCCAUGAGCUGUGGUGUAGGUAGCAGACGUGGCUCAGAUCCAGUGUUGCUGUGGCUGUGGUGUAGGCCAACGGCUACAGCUCUGAUUCAACCCCUAGCUGGGGAACUUCCAUAUGCCGAGGGUUUGUUCC
rnacentral:lncRNA from 1 species